GCUGAGGCAGGACAGCACUGGCGAAAAAGGGAGGAAGAAAGGAGAGGAGGAAAAAAGAAAGUGAGAAAAACAUCUUUGCUGACACACAGGCCUGAAAUUAAUGCCUUCCUGUUUGCCAUCUGUGCCUGUUGUGGUGGCUUGUGAGGACUUCCUCCUACGAUAGUGCUUUGAGACAAGUUCGCUGCAUUCUUUAAAUCCUGACAGAAGAAUACUGUAGAGACUAGUCUGGAAAGAAAGUCUGUAUAAAGGAGUUGGAAAGAGUAUGUAAACAUUCAGCCACUGGGAGCUGUGAAAGCAGGAGAAUGAAUGGAAGCUUAAUGCACUAUAGCAAUGUCUAAAUUACAGCAGCUUUUUUUGUCUCCAUAGGUUUCCUUCUGGUACUAGAAGACAAUAACAUCACCCCUAAAAAGCCUUCUCCUUUCCAGUCUGAACAAUCUUAAUGCUUUCAGCCUUUCCUGAGUGCUCCAUCCCUCCAACCAUUCUGAUUGCCAACACUGGACUCACUCCACAGGUCAAUAUUCUUCCUGUGCUGAGACUCCUAUAGCUGGACUCAGUACUCAAGGUUCGGGUCUACCAGAGUGGAGUGGAGGAGCAGAACUGCCUCCCUCACCCUGUAGCCCACAAAGCUUUUGAUGCAGUCUUGGACACCUUUGUUUAUCUGCGCUGAAUGCACAUUUCUGAGUCAUGUUCAUCCUCUUCAUCCACCGGCGCUCCCAAGUCCUUCUCAGCAGGGCUGCUCUUGAUCUGGUCUUCCCACAGCAUGGAUUGAUAUGGGGCUGAACCAGGUGCAGCA